ensembl:snRNA U6 U6 spliceosomal RNA
GUGCUCACUUCAGCAGCAUAUGUAGUAAAAUUGAAAUGAUACACAGAGAAGAUUAGCAUAGUUCCUGCUCAAGGAUGAUGUGCAAAUUUGUGAAGCGUUCCAUAUUAAA